GGAAGCGGGGGAAUGGGGCUCUGACCUGGGUUGGGACAUGUGAGGCUCCUUGUGUCUUGGAGUCAGGCAUAGCCAUGGGGUUUCAGACCCUCCUCAACCAUGCAGAAAUGUAGAGGUUCAGGCCAGGCCAGGCCCCAAAGAGGCAAACAGUCAUUCUCACAUGACACCCAGAGGGAGCCUGUGAAAACCCAAGUCAGAUUUCAUCCCUUCCCUGCUCAAAACCCUCCCUGUGUCACUCACAGGAAAAAACAGUCUGCACAGUGGCCUGCUAGGCCCACAGGAUACAGCCCCUGUCACUCUCCACUCUCUUCUGCCCCUCAGCUCCAUCCUGGCCACUCAGGCCUCCUCAGGGCCUUUGCACGUGCUGUUCCCUCGCUGAACAUGCUCUUCCCCAGAGAGCCUCAUGGCUCACUCUGCCCCCUCCCCAGGUCUUAUUUACUUUUUUAAUGACUUUCCCAUUUUUUUUUACUUAUUUAUUUUUAUUUUCUGGCCAUGCUGCAUGGCUUGUGGGAUCUUAGUUCCCCGACCAGGGGUUGAACCUGUGUCUCCUGCAGUGGAAAUAUGGAGUCUUUUUUUUUUUUUUCUAAUAUUGUUGAUUGGUUGAUUGAUUGCUGUGUUGGGUCUUCGUUGCUGCACAUGGGCUUUGUCUAGUUGUGGUGAGUAGGGGCUACUCUUCAUUGUGGUGCACGGGCUCCUCAUUGCCGGGGCUUCUCUUGUUGUGGAGCACCAGCUCUAGGUGCGUGGGCUUCAGUAGUUGUGGCUCAUAGGCUUAGUUGCUCCCCGGCAUGUGGGAUCUUCCUGAAGCAGGGAACGAAGCCGUGUCCCCUGCAUUGGCAGGCGGAUUCUUUACUGUGCCACCAGGGAAGUCCCGGAAGCAUGGAGUCUUAACCACUGGACCACCAGCAACCCUGGCGAGGCCUUCGUGUUCCACCAGGGUAGGCACAUGGGCAAGCGGCCUUCCGAGUGCCCUUCAGCCACCGCUCCAACCAUACUGAGAGUGGUAAGGCCCACCAGCAGCUUCAACCAAGCCCUGACACUGCCCCUGGGCAGGGAGACAGACCUCACCGAGACGGGGCGUUCGAUGUCCAGACACCCAGAGGAUGGAGAAGGGGACACACAGUGGGAGCAGACCGCUGGGGCCGUCACAGCCUCUUGCUGAGUGCCGCACGUGAGCCGCAUCGACUAACUACGUCACAUGUGUCUGUCUGGUUGUGGUGCAGGAGCCACGGGACAGGUGGGCACCAGAUGCGGGUGUCACAGUGGGCGGGGGGCUGACCAGCGCAUCCCACCCAGGAGAGCAAGCAGGCUCAGCGCCACCUUUGGGGCCCCGGGGGCCGCGGUUCUGGAACGCGGCUGCACGUACUAGAAUCUGCCCUGGAGCUUUCACGCCCAGAUGCUCAAGCCCCACUCGGAGAGAUUCUGACUUCAGCUCUGGCGAGAGACGUGCUCACCGGGACGUUUCAGAGCCGCCCAGGUGUUUCCCACGCGUGACCUUCCCAUGCCUUUCCCGGUCUGGAUACCCUAGAAGCCUGACUGGGGGAAAGGGCUGUUAAGCUUCGUCCUCGCCACUCAGCAGCUUUCUCCCGGCGGGGCGGACCCGACGGCCGCGUCCGGGACGCCAUCUCCUUGGCGACGACGCAGGCACGCCUCGCGGGCCUCGGUUACCACGACAACCGGAGUCCUGGGGCGGACGGAGAGCCGGGUGCGGCGGGACUACGCUUCCCAGCAGCCCCCGCGAGGGCUCCCUCCGGCCCUUGAGGCGGCACCCACCCUUCAGAGCCGCGGCCCGGACGAGGAGGAGGAGGGUGGAAGGCUCCGCGCUGCGUGCGGGACAGGGACCUGGGGACCCGUGCCGGCCGCCCCCAGCAAGGAUUCUGUCCUUGGAUGUGGAGGCCACCCCAGGAAUUCAAGAUGAUCUCAUCUCAGGGUCCUUUUUUUUUUUUUUUUUCUGGCCACACCCAGCGGCAUGUGGCAUGUCACUGACGGGGGACUGAACCCGCACCCCCUGCGGUGGACGCGUGCAGUCUUAACCACUGGACCACCAGGGACGUCCUCAAGAUCCUUAAGUACCCCUGCAAAUACGCUCUCCCCAGUUAAGGCCCCAUUCGCAGGUCCCAGGGAUUCGGGUGCGGACAUCUCUUUGGGGUGGAGGUGCCGCUCAACGCACUACGGCCUCCGUCAGUGGCCGCUGCUCAGUCCUGGGUGGCCGCGUGUCCUCUGAUCUCAUGGCGAUUGGCGGUCUUGUGUCGCCCAGGCUGCCCCCGGCAUCUUCUCCCAUCCUGUGGCUCCUCGGCCUCCAGGUUCCUGGGGGCCCAGGACGUCACACGGGGGUGUGGGGUGGGGGGUGGGGGGGUGGCCUGAGGCCCUGCUC